rnacentral:rRNA from 1 species
UACUAUAGCUUGACACUGAACAUUGAGCCUUGAUGUGUAGGAUAGGUGGGAGGCUUUGAAGUGUGGACGCCAGUCUGCAUGGAGCCGACCUUGAAAUACCACCCUUUAAUGUUUGAUGUUCUAACGUGGACCCGUGAUCCGGGUUGCGGACAGUGUCUGGUGGGUAGUUUGACUGGGGCGGUCUCCUCCUAAAGAGUAACGGAGGAGCACGAAGGUUGGCUAAUCCUGGUCGGACAUCAGGAGGUUAGUGCAAUG